rnacentral:sRNA from 1 species
CCAGAAGAUCUGCUAAAGGCAAUUUUUAACAUCAAAUUCUUAGCUAGAUUGGAUUCUCAACUUGAAAAUUUUGAGUGUAUCUUGGAUAAAAGAAAAAAACCUCUUCCGUAUGGAAGCCAUAAUAUAGCACUGGGACAACUACCAGAAAUGCCCUGGGAAUCAAAUAUCGAAAUAGUUGGAUCAAGGCUGCCACCAGGGGCUGAAAGGAUUGCUUUGGAAUUUUUGGAUUCAAAAGCACUUUGUAGAAAUAUCCCUCACAUGAAAGGAAAAUCUGCUAUGAAAAAACGACAUUUGGAAAUUCUGGGGUAUCGUGUAAUUCAGAUUUCCCAGUUUGAAUGGAACUCUAUGGCACUGUCAACAAAGGAUGCUCGGAUGGACUACCUGAGAGAAUGUAUAUUUGGAGAAGUCAGGUCAUGUUUGUAGUUUUUAUUUAAAAUGAAUGUUAUCAUGUGUUACAUUUGGACCUAUUUUAAUAAAGUGGCCUGUCUCAAUU